UCGUUGAGUAGAAGCGGCUAGCGGUCGGUUCAGACACCGGCUUGCGGGGCAUUGCUCGUGAC
rnacentral:ncRNA from 1 species